UACGUAGGGUGCAAGCGUUAAUCGGAAUUACUGGGCGUAAAGCGUGCGCAGGCGGUUUUGUAAGUCUGACGUGAAAUCCCCGGGCUCAACCUGGGAAUUGCGUUGGAGACUGCAAGGCUAGAAUCUGGCAGAGGGGGGUAGAAUUCCACGUGUAGCAGUGAAAUGCGUAGAGAUGUGGAGGAACACCGAUGGCGAAGGCAGCCACCUGGGUCAAGAUUGACGCUCAUGCACGAAAGCGUGGGGAGCAAACAGG
rnacentral:rRNA from 1 species